UUUUGAAAGUUGUAGAAAGCAAGAAUGAAUGAACAUACCUAAUAAACAAAACAGAGUCUUCGGCCAAAGGCCUUUUUCCACUACAAAUAGACUCAAUCCAGUGGUAUGCAAAUGACGUUUUCAUAAUGAGAUUUUAUUCAGAAAUUAGAGAUAAAACCUAUUGGGUGUGUUUGGACUCUGAAAUGUACCACGAUAUAUGUGGCAGAAUGUCCAAACUGUGUCAUGCAAAUCCCUGGCAACGAGCUCUUGAACAGGAGGAAUGGAGUUACGAGAGGAGGAAAAAUCUUAUCGAUGGCAUGGCGAAGGAUGGAGAAACCACCGUGAGUGCUUGUAUUGCUGGCGGUGAGUUGCUAGUGUUUCAUAGCUCGUUGCUGGUGUCGAUGAUGUGUGAACGAAGAUGAUGUAUGCCUUCAAAAAUACUAUUCAGUCCAUUUUUAACUUCCCAUAAGGUGUUUGUGAAAAUGCUACAAUGAGGAGGGAACUUCUGGUGUUGAUUCAACUUGGAGAUAUACUAAAUUAAGGUGAAGAUGAAAUUGUUAUCUUGUCCUUGCUGCAAUCAUUGGAUAAACAGGCAAAAACUUCUACAAUUGUUAUCUUGUCGGUUAUGGUCACUUCAAGCUCUGUCAGACUGGUUAGCUCCACAACAAGAGAACUUUGGAAUGAAUGGCAUGCACCAUCAGGCUAUUCAAUAAAUGUAGCUACGGUAAACACUACCCAGGUGUGAUUUGGAUGCUUUACAAAACCAUUAUCUUAAAAAAUUAUAGGCGAUAUUUUUUUAAUGGUUUUUUAAUUGCAAUGGGUUCCCACGCCAAUGUGGCUUAUUUGAACAUAAAUCCCAUUGGUGAAAACCCCAAUCACAGUAAUCUAGCAGCAGUUGGAAUGUGGACAAACAUAAGUGUUAGAAUUUUUUCUCUUCCUGAUCUGAGUGUCAUCACAAAGGAACAAUUAGGAGGGUAGAUCAUGCCUUGUUUUGUUCUUUGUGCAUUUGAAGGGAUAUCGUACUUGCUGUGUGCCCUCGAUGAUUGUCAUCUCUUAAACUUUAUGUGGAAUACAAGUACCGGUGAAUUAUCAGAUAGGAAAAAGAUAUCUCUUGGGACACAACCUAUUACACUACGGGCUUUCUCCUCCAAAAAUACUACUCAUGUAUUUGCUGCAUCUGAUCGGCCAACUGUAAUUUAUAGUAGUAAAAAAAAAUUACUUUAUAGUAAUGUGAAUCUGAAGGAAGUGACUCAUGUGUCUUUUCAAUUCCGCUGCUUUUCUAGACAGUAUCUUAGUCUUUGUUAGUUUGACUUACUAGAGUUGUUUACAUAUCCCCUUAUGUUGUUCUUGGAUCUUGUACAAUUUAAUGUAAAAUCCUUUACUGGUGAUGAUACUCAUCUACUGUUAAUAACUAAAACAGUUUGCCAAUUGCAAAAGAAGGUGAGCUUACUAUUGGCACUAUUGAUGAUAUACAAAAACUUCAUAUUCGCUCUAUUCUGCUAGGGGAGCAUGCACGACGUAUCUGCCACCAGGAGCCAUCUAGGACUUUUGCUAUUUGUAUUUUGAAAUACAAUCCAGCUAGUGGUGAAGACUUUGAAAUGCACUUUGUCCGCUUGUUGGAUGACCAGACUUUUAAGUUCAUACCAACUUAUUCUCUUGACACUUGGGAGUAUGGUUGCUUCAUGAUUAGCUGCUCCUUCUCAUAUGACAAUAAUGCGUAUUAAUGUGUUGGAACUGCAUAGGUACUACCAAAGGAAAAUGAACCAACCAAAAUAGGUUGAGAAAUUUAUAUUUUUUUAGCAUUGUUCUAGUCAAAGCUUCUGAUAUCCUACUUCCUUUGGCCAUUUUGAAACAUUUAGGGAAGAAUUCUUGUUUUUGUUGUUGAAGAUGGAAAACUGCAUCUAAUUGCUGAGAAAGAGACAAAAUGAGUUGUUUAUUGCUUGAAUGCAUUUAAUGGUAAAUUGCCUGCUGCUGUUAAUCAAAAAAAUUCAGAUUAUGGCUAUUUCGAUUUUAUAAUUAAUUAAUUUACAUUGAUGACCAUGAAUGGGGAGUUGGGAUCCAUGAAUAUGUCGUUUUGAUCAAACAUUCUUGAAUUUUCUUCUCAACAAGCAGAGGUGCCAUUUAUGAAGUAUAAAUUGCUUUUGAUAAGUUUAAUAAGGAGUACUUGUACUACACAACAUGACAACAAUAACAUGUUUGGUUUGACUUUGAGUAUACAGGUGAUGGCAUAUAUGAUGGUGGCUGCAGUGGCGGCUGUAUUGCAAUCUGGUGUGCUUGGAAGGACAAGGCAAGCAAAACUUCAGUGGAUGAAGGUGUGCAAAAUGUAUGGGAAAUUCUGCAACCAAAUGGGAGAAGGGAUAACAAGUGAUUUUGUGGUUAGCCUUAGUGUUGUGGUCAUCUCAUAUAGAGAGAGAGGAGUUUAACUAGUCCAUGUUUGUCAAUUUUCAAUAUUUGUUCCAAUGUUUCAAAACUACUAGAACUUUUUUUUAAAAUAAGGCAAUUACUUUAAUGCAUA